rnacentral:snRNA from 1 species
UCAGUUUGGUAGUGCAUAUAAUAAAAGUUUGGAAUAAUACAGAAGAUUAGCACGGCCUCUACGCAAAGAUAAUAUGCAAAUUCAUGAAGUGCUCCAUAUUUUU